CAGCAGUUAGGAGCUUACACCCACCCGUGUUUACAUACUAUUGUUGCUUUGGCGGGCCGUGGCCUCCACUGCGGGCUCUGCUCGUGUGUGCCCGCCAGAGGACCAAAUUCUGAAUGUUAGUGAUGUCUGAGUAUUAUCUAAUAGUUAAAACUUUCAACAACGGAUCUCUUGGUUCUGGCAUCGAUGAAGAACGCAGCGAAAUGCGAUAAGUAAUGUGAAUUGCAGAAUUCAGUGAAUCAUCGAAUCUUUGAACGCACAUUGCGCCCUGUGGUAUUCCGCAGGGCAUGCCUGUUCGAGCGUCAUUUAACCACUCAAGCCUAGCUUGGUAUUAGGGCACGCGGUUUCGCAGCCCUCAAAAUCAGUGGCGGCGCCGGUGGGCUCUAAGCGUAGUACAUACUCCCGCUAUAGAGUUUCCCCGGUAGCUCGCCAGAACUCCCAAUUUUUACAGGUUGACCUCGGAUCAGGUAGGGAUACCCGCUGAACUUAAGCA
rnacentral:rRNA from 1 species